CAGCCGCCGCGGGAAUACGAAGGGUGCAAGCGUUACUCGGAAUUACUGGGCGUAAAGCGUGCGUAGGUGGUUGUUUAAGUCCGUUGUGAAAGCCCUGGGCUCAACCUGGGAAUUGCAGUGGAUACUGGGCAACUAGAGUGUGGUAGAGGAUAGUGGAAUUUCCGGUGUAGCAGUGAAAUGCGUAGAGAUCGGAAGGAACAUCUGUGGCGAAGGCGACUAUCUGGGCCAACACUGACACUGAGGCACGAAAGCGUGGGGAGCAAACAGGAUUAGAUACCCGCGUAGUCCCUGUCUCUUAUAC
rnacentral:rRNA from 1 species